rnacentral:rRNA from 1 species
AUUGAACGCUGGCGGCAGGCCUAACACAUGCAAGUCGAGCGGAGCGGCGGACGGGUGAGUAAUGCCUAGGAAUCUGCCUGGUAGUGGGGGAUACCGUCCGGAAACGGGCGCUAAUACCGCAUACUAUCAGAUGAGCCUAGUUCUGAUUAGCUAGUUGGUGGGUUAAAGGCCUACCACGGAGACGAUCCGUAACUGGUCUGAGAGGAUGAUCAGUCAAACGUGAAAGGGGACACGGUCCAGACGACUGCGGGAGUCAGCAGGGUGGAAUAAUUGACAAUGGGCGAAAGCCUGAUCCAGCCAUGCCGCGUGUGGGAGGAAGGUCUUCGGAUUGUAAAGCACUUAAAGUUGGGAGGCGUUACCAGCAGAAUAAGCACCGGCUAACUUCGUGCCAGCAGCCGCGGUAAUUC